rnacentral:rRNA from 1 species
AUUGAACGCUGGCGGCAUGCCUUACACAUGCAAGUCGAACGGCAGCACGGGGGCAACCCUGGUGGCGAGUGGCGAACGGGUGAGUAAUACAUCGGAACGUGUCCUGUAGUGGUGGAUAGCCCGGCGACAGCCGGAUUAAUACCGCAUACGCUCUACGGAGGAAAGGGGGGGAUCUUAGGACCUCCCGCUACAGGGGCGGCCGAUGGCAGAUUAGCUAGUUGGUGGGGUAAAGGCCUACCAAGGCGACGAUCUGUAGCUGGUCUGAGAGGACGACCAGCCACACUGGGACUGAGACACGGCCCAGACUCCUACGGGAGGCAGCAGUGGGGAAUUUUGGACAAUGGGGGCAACCCUGAUCAAGCAAUGCCGCGUGUGUGAAGAAGGCCUUCGGGUUGUAAAGCACGUUUGUCCGGAAAGAAAACGCCGUGGUUAAUACCCGUGGGGGAUGACGGUACCGGAAGAAUAAGCACCGGCUAACUACGUG